rnacentral:rRNA from 1 species
AUACGAAGGUCCCAAGCGUUAUUCGGAAUCACUGGGCGUAAAGAGUACGUAGGCGGUUUGGUAAGUCAGGUGUGAAAUCCCGAAGCUCAACUUCGGAACUGCAUCCGAUACUGCCAGGCUAGAGUAAUGGAGAGGCAGGUGGAAUUCUCGGUGUAGCAGUGAAAUGCGUGGAUAUCGAGAGGAAGACCAAUGACGAAGGCAGCCUGCUGGACAUUUACUGACGCUGAGGUACGAAGGCUAGGGGAGCGAAAGGGAUUAGAAACCCCAGUAGUCC